UUGAAAUUACUGGCGAGGGUUGUAGCUGGCCUUUCGGGGCAACGUGCACGCCUGAGCCUUUAAUCCACAUACACCUGUGAACCCAAUGUAAGGGCCCGUAAAAAAGGCCCCUACGUCUCAUCAACCCCAUCGUAUGUCUCAUAGAAUGUAAAUCAAUGUCCUCGCCUAAAAAGCGUUGAUAAAACAUAUA
rnacentral:misc_RNA from 1 species